CCUACGGGCGGCAGCAGUGAGGAAUAUUGGUCAAUGGGCGCAGGCCUGAACCAGCCAAGUAGCGUGAAGGAUGACUGCCCUAUGGGUUGUAAACUUCUUUUAUAAAGGAAUAAAGUCGGGUAUGGAUACCCGUUUGCAUGUACUUUAUGAAUAAGGAUCGGCUAACUCCGUGCCAGCAGCCGCGGUAAUACGGAGGAUCCGAGCGUUAUCCGGAUUUAUUGGGUUUAAAGGGAGCGUAGAUGGAUGUUUAAGUCAGUUGUGAAAGUUUGCGGCUCAACCGUAAAAUUGCAGUUGAUACUGGAUAUCUUGAGUGCAGUUGAGGCAGGCGGAAUUCGUGGUGUAGCGGUGAAAUGCUUAGAUAUCACGAAGAACUCCGAUUGCGAAGGCAGCUCACUGGACUGCAACUGACACUGAUGCUCGAAAG
rnacentral:rRNA from 1 species